CGUUGGCAGCGUGUUAGAGAGGGAGAGAGGGAGAGAGAGUUAGAGAGAGAAAGACACAGACAGACAGAGAGAAAAUCUUGUUUCUCUGUUGCCUUAGUAUAAUCCGUCUCAAGAAAAAGUGGUGGGCAGAGGCAGCUGGUUUUGAUCCCAAACCCAAAAGCCUCUCUCCAUCUCCCUCUCUCUCUCUCUCUCUCUCUCUCUCUCUCUCUUC
rnacentral:miRNA from 1 species